AAAAAAAAACAAAGGGUAAGCUGACAGGAACAGGACCAAAAAGUUGCGUCAUUCGUAUUUGGUCUGCUCUACUGUUCGGAACGUACUAUUCUAGUGAAUAUCUGUGCAUAAUAGGAUGAAAGGCCUGCCUGGGGGUGGAGCUAAAAGUUCAAAUGGCUGUCUGAAAAAAAAAAAUCACAUUAAAAGCCACCAGAAAGGGUACAACGAUGGGGCCGGUUCACGGAUUACUUUAUAUCCUUGUAAUCUCAUCCUACUUCAUCGUCGGUCGUGGCCAAAAAAUUGUGUGCACACAGGAAGCCAAGGCAGAUUAGUGUUUUUAGUGGAUGGCUCGGCCAGCAUCGGUCUAAAGAACUUCCA
ensembl:lncRNA